AGUGAACGCUGGCGGUAGGCCUAACACAUGCAAGUCGAACGGCAGCACAGUAAGAGCUUGCUCUUAUGGGUGGCGAGUGGCGGACGGGUGAGGAAUACAUCGGAAUCUACCUUUUCGUGGGGGAUAACGUAGGGAAACUUACGCUAAUACCGCAUACGACCUACGGGUGAAAGCAGGGGAUCUUCGGACCUUGCGCGAUUGAAUGAGCCGAUGUCGGAUUAGCUAGUUGGCGGGGUAAAGGCCCACCAAGGCGACGAUCCGUAGCUGGUCUGAGAGGAUGAUCAGCCACACUGGAACUGAGACACGGUCCAGACUCCUACGGGAGGCAGCAGUGGGGAAUAUUGGACAAUGGGCGCAAGCCUGAUCCAGCCAUACCGCGUGGGUGAAGAAGGCCUUCGGGUUGUAAAGCCCUUUUGUUGGGAAAGAAAUCCAGCCGGUUAAUACCUGGUUGGGAUGACGGUACCCAAAGAAUAAGCACCGGCUAACUUCGUGCCAGCAGCCGCGGUAAUACGAAGGGUGCAAGCGUUACUCGGAAUUACUGGGCGUAAAGCGUGCGUAGGUGGUUGUUUAAGUCUGUUGUGAAAGCCCUGGGCUCAACCUGGGAACUGCAGUGGAAACUGGACAACUAGAGUGUGGUAGAGGGUAGCGGAAUUCCCGGU
rnacentral:rRNA from 1 species